rnacentral:rRNA from 1 species
GACGAACGCUGGCGGCGUGCUUAACACAUGCAAGUCGAGCGGUAAGGCCCUUUCGGGGGUACACGAGCGGCGAACGGGUGAGUAACACGUGGGUGACCUGCCUUUAGCUCUGGGAUAAGCCUGGGAAACCGGGUCUAAUACCGGAUAUGACUCCGCGGCGCAUGUUGUGGGGUGGAAAGCCUUGUGCGGCUGGAGAUGGGCCCGCGGCCUAUCAGCUUGUUGGUGGGGUAAUGGCUCACCAAGGCGACGACGGGUAGCUGGUCUGAGAGGAUGGCCAGCCACAUUGGGACUGAGACACGGCCCAGACUCCUACGGGAGGCAGCAGUGGGGAAUAUUGCGCAAUGGGCGAAAGCCUGACGCAGCGACGCCGCGUGUGGGAUGACGGCCUUCGG